CAUUAGACGUCGAGGGGGAGGAUGAGAAGCUUCGACAAGGUUCGAGCCGAGCGCAGCGAGACAACGCGCUUUAGCGCGGUAAUCCUUAGAAGCGCACAAUAGGAAUUUAGCCCUUUCCUUAAAAAAU
rnacentral:sRNA from 1 species